rnacentral:lncRNA from 1 species
UGCUUUUCUACCAUUAAAAUAUGGGAGCAAGAUGAUAGUCUUCCAACCUAAGAGACAGUUUUUCUAUUUGUUAAACAACAGCUUUUCUAUUUGUUAAACACACCUUGAGGCUCUGAGAGUGUGCAUCAGUCACAGCUCUUGUGCAAAUGGGUGGAUCUGACUGAUCAUGAUUGAGUAAAGUGCCAGCAUAACUGAGUAAGAUUGAAGAUGACUGCAUAGGCAAUAUCUUCCUGAUUGACAGGAUACUGUCUCCCUUUAAUGUUUCCUGUCAAAGGAGACUUCUGAAAUUAUGGCAGUUUCCUUCUGUAGAAAAACUCCCAGCACCUAGAGAGAGCUAGUGAGAGCUGUUAGCUUCUGACGAUCCUAGAUGAUCCUGUUCUGGGUGGGAUUU